rnacentral:rRNA from 1 species
UAGGAAUCUGCCUAUUAGUGGGGGACAACAUUCCGAAAGGAAUGCUAAUACCGCAUACGUCCUACGGGAGAAAGCAGGGGAUCUUCGGACCUUGCGCUAAUAGAUGAGCCUAAGUCGGAUUAGCUAGUUGGUGGGGUAAAGGCCUACCAAGGCGACGAUCUGUAGCGGGUCUGAGAGGAUGAUCCGCCACACUGGGACUGAGACACGGCCCAGACUCCUACGGGAGGCAGCAGUGGGGAAUAUUGGACAAUGGGGGGAACCCUGAUCCAGCCAUGCCGCGUGUGUGAAGAAGGCCUUAUGGUUGUAAGGCACUUUAAGCGAGGAGGAGGCUACUGAGACUAAUACUCUUGGAUAGUGGACGUUACUCGCAGAAUAAGCACCGGCUAACUCUGUGCCAGCAGCCGCGGUAAUACAGAGGGUGCGAGCGUUAAUCGGAUUUACUGGGCGUAAAGCGUGCGUAGGCGGCUUUUUAAGUCGGAUGUGAAAUCCCCGAGCUUAACUUGGGAAUUGCAUUCGAUACUGGGAGGCUAGAGUAUGGGAGAGGAUGGUAGAAUUCCAGGUGUAGCGGUGAAAUGCGUAGAGAUCUGGAGGAAUACCGAUGGCGAAGGCAGCCAUCUGGCCUAAUACUGACGCUGAGGUACGAAAGCAUGGGGAGCAAACAGGAUUAGAUACCCUGGUAGUCCAUGCCGUAAACGAUGUCUACUAGCCGUUGGGGCCUUUGAGGCUUUAGUGGCGCAGCUAACGCGAUAAGUAGACCGCCUGGGGAGUACGGUCGCAAGA